CGUAGGGUGCGAGCGUUAAUCGGAAUUACGUGGGCGUAAAGCGUGCGCAGGUCGGUUUUGUAAGACAGAUGUGAAACUCCCCGGGCUCAACCGUGGGACCUGCAUUUGUGACUGCAAGGCUAGAGUACGGUAGAGGGGGAUGGAAUUCCGCGUGUAGCAGUGAAAUGCGUAGAUAUGCGGAGGAACACCGAUGGCGAAGGCAAUCCCCUGGACCUGUACUGACGCUCAUGCACGAAAGCGUGGGGAGCAAACAGGAUUAGAUACCCUGGUAGUCCACGCCCUAAACGAUGUCAACUGGUUGUUGGGUCUUUACUGACUCAGUAACGAAGCUAACGCGUGAAGUUGACCGCCUGGGGAGUACGGCCGCAAGGUUG
rnacentral:rRNA from 1 species